GUCCCAGCCGUAAACGUUGGGUGCUAGGUGUGGGAGGCAUCAACCCCUUCCGUGCCGUCGCAAACGCAUUAAGCACCCCGCCUGGGGAGUACGGCCGCAAGGCUAAAACUCAAAGGAAUUGACGGGGACCCGCACAAGCGGCGGAGCAUGUGGCUUAAUUCGACGCAACGCGAAGAACCUUACCAGGGCUUGACAUGCAGGGUGAAACCGGUGAAAGCCGGUGCUCCUUCGGGAGCCUGCACAGGUGCUGCAUGGCUGUCGU
rnacentral:rRNA from 1 species